rnacentral:rRNA from 1 species
CCUACGGGCGGCAGCAGUGAGGAAUAUUGGUCAAUGGACGGAAGUCUGAACCAGCCAUGCCGCGUGCAGGAAGACGGCUCUAUGAGUUGUAAACUGCUUUUGUACAAGGGUAAACCUGAAUACGUGUAUUCAGCUGAAAGUACUGUACGAAUAAGGAUCGGCUAACUCCGUGCCAGCAGCCGCGGUAAUACGGAGGAUCCAAGCGUUAUCCGGAUUUAUUGGGUUUAAAGGGUGCGUAGGCGGAUUGAUAAGUUAGAGGUGAAAUGUCCGAGCUUAACUCGGGAACUGCCUCUAAUACUGUUGAUCUAGAGAGUAGAUGCGGUAGGCGGAAUGUAUGGUGUAGCUGUGAAAUGCUUAGAGAUCAUACAGAACACCGAUUGCGAAGGCAGCUUACCAAUCUAUAUCUGACGUUGAGGCACGAAAGCGUGGGGAGCAAACAGGAUUAGAUACCCCAGUAGUC